rnacentral:rRNA from 1 species
AGUGAACGCUGGCGGUAGGCCUAACACAUGCAAGUCGAACGGCAGCACAGGAGAGCUUGCUCUCUGGGUGGCGAGUGGCGGACGGGUGAGGAAUACAUCGGAAUCUACUUUUUCGUGGGGGAUAACGUAGGGAAACUUACGCUAAUACCGCAUACGACCUACGGGUGAAAGCAGGGGAUCUUCGGACCUUGCGCGAUUGAAUGAGCCGAUGUCGGAUUAGCUAGUUGGCGGGGUAAAGGCCCACCAAGGCGACGAUCCGUAGCUGGUCUGAGAGGAUGAUCAGCCACACUGAAACUGAGACACGGUACAGACUCCUACGGGAGGCAGCAGUGGGGAAUAUUGGACAAUGGGCGCAAGCCUGAUCCAGCCAUACCGCGUGGGUGAAGAAGGCCUUCGGGUUGUAAAGCCCUUUUGUUGGGAAAGAAAUCCAGCUGGCUAAUACCCGGUUGGGAUGACGGUACCCAAAGAAUAAGCACCGGCUAACUUCGUGCCAGCAGCCGCCGUAAUAC